CACAUUUUCAUUUGGUGGCGCUGUGGCUCCUGUGUGGCAGCACUGAUUGAAAGACUGGAAAUGGAGAGAAAUGCAAAACUCAAUCCUCUGGCAUCAGAUCCAGGACACUGCAGAACAGCUGAUCUGCCGUUAGCUGUGUAAAGCUCCCAGAGCCUAGCUGAAUUAAUCACAGCCACACGGACACGCGGGGGCAGCCUGAGGAUGAGGACCGAGAGAAGGCUUGGGAAGAAACCAUGCUGUGAGAAAAGAGUCAGAGCUGUAACAUCCAUGGAUUGGAAGGGAGUUGUUCCUUGUGUGUUGGGGAGCUCAGCUCCCUGGGGUCUGCUGUGGCCCUGAGCUUACCUUCACUGAGCUGCACCGCUGUGACCACUGACAGACUCACCGACUUAAAAAGAUUUAUAAGGUUAGUUUAAGGAUUUUU